UACGGAGGGGGCAAGCGUUAUUCGGAAUUAUUGGGCGUAAAGGGCGCGUAGGCGGCUAGAUGUGUCAAAGGUGAAAUCCCUCGGCUCAACCGAGGAACUGCCCUCCAAACUGCUUGGCUUGAGACCGGGAGAGGUGAGUGGAAUUCCCAGUGUAGCGGUGAAAUGCGUAGAUAUUGGGAGGAACACCAGUGGCGAAGGCGGCUCACUGGACCGGUACUGACGCUGAGGCGCGAAAGCGUGGGGAGCAAACGGG
rnacentral:rRNA from 1 species